rnacentral:tRNA from 1 species
GUCUCUGUGGCGCAAUUGGUUAGCGCGUUCGGCUGUUAACCGAAAGGUUGCUGGUUCAAGCCCAGCCAGGGAGG